UGCCGUUGCAGCUAACCCGAAUUGCGAUCCUAGUAGUGCGGCUGACUUGGAGCAGGGGCAUGGAAAAGCGAGCGGGGGAGGGGGCUGAUUCCGUGCCAGGGCUUCCAGAGGAAGCAUGUGAAAGGGCAGCUGGACUAGUCUGAGAGGAGGGCGGAACGCAGGGGACAGACACGAGCUCCUGUGUCAGCACCAAAUAUCUGUACAGCAGUACAAGCUGAAAGCCUCUGAAUCUUCUCUUGUCCAGGCGCCAGAUAAGCUUGGGGACUUUGCAUCUGCUGCUUGGACUACACGUGAGGUGCUAUUGCCAGGAGAAUAGAGCUGAGAUGUGAGCAUCGGAAUGAAC